GACGUAGGGCGCGAGCGUUGUCCGGAUUUAUUGGGCGUAAAGAGCUCGUAGGCGGCUUGUCGCGUCGACUGUGAAAACCCGCGGCUCAACCGCGGGCCUGCAGCCGAUACGGGCAGGCUCGAGGGCAGGAGAGGAACGCGGAAUUCCAGGUGUAGCGGUGAAAUGCGUAGAUAUCUGGAGGAACACCGGUGGCGAAGGCGGCGUUCUGGACUGUCUCUGACACUGAAGAACGAAAGCCAGGGGAGCAAACGGG
rnacentral:rRNA from 1 species